UACGUAGGUGGCAAGCGUUGUCCGGAAUUAUUGGGCGUAAAGCGCGCGCAGGCGGCCUUUUAAGUCUGAUGUGAAAUCUUGCGGCUCAACCGCAAGCGGCCAUUGGAAACUGGGAGGCUUGAGUACAGAAGAGGAGAGUGGAAUUCCACGUGUAGCGGUGAAAUGCGUAGAUAUGUGGAGGGACACCAGUGGCGAAGGCGACUCUCUGGUCUGUAACUGACGCUGAGGCGCGAAAGCGUGGGGAGCAAACAGG
rnacentral:rRNA from 1 species